CGGUUUUAACCCGGUUUUCAUCAAGCAAUACUCAUUUCAUACAAAUAAAAAAUAGAUAUUUCCAUUGAUUGUAAACUAAACAGUCCAAUUAAAGAUUGUCUCGGGGGAACCAAGGCGGUGACGCGAUUCGGUUUUACUACAGAAAUCAGAUUUCCAGGGCCGUAUUUAAUAACGAGCAAAGCGAGGUACUUGCCUCAGUAACAAUUUUGAAUUUAUUUAUAUUAUUUAUUCCAAGUUCUCGUUAUAGGCUGCGCAUUACAAAAAUAAAUCAAUGUGAAACAAGAGUUUUUUUUGCUGAUAUUGCCUUGGAAAAAAAAAUUUUACUCUGGCUAAGGUCGUCAAUUUUGACACAGACUAACGCAUGGAAAACGAGCAUGAAACGCUUGUAAUUCACUUUCUCGCAAACUAACCAAAAAUUACUUUUGAUCAGUAAACUUAUAUCGACUCUAUGUUCCAAAAUUUAAAUUUUACACAAAGGUAAAUUAGACAGAGGAUUUCUAUGCAAAUACUACUUCGCUCCAAGUUUUCAAAAUGGCGGACAAUAUGCGAUGCGCACUGGACUAGCAAACGUUAACCGCAUUUUACACGGUAAAAUUCGAGAAAUGCUAUGGAAAUUUUAUUAGAUUAGCCAUACUCUUUUCCGUAGCUCUUGGAAAAUAAAUCAAUGACGAUAAGGUUCAGAAACGCCUCAGGUUCAUUGAACCUGCUGCCAGAAGCUUCUGUGUUGUCCCGUCUCCAUAACAGGGCACGUCUUCCCACCUGAACUAAAAGCGUCAUAACAAGCCGGGCCACCGCCUAGCAAUCCAAACUAAGGAACACUUUUGAAAAUCUCUAAGUUUUCAGUCAGCCUUUGCCACUUCUGUGCUCGUCAGUGUCGCAAAACAUACGAUGAUAAUUGCGUUCGCAGAAGAAGAAUUUACUGAGGUUGUAAAAUCGCCCCAAAGGGCCACAAAGAUUGAACUGAGAGGGAUGCGGACUCUUGCACUCUUUGAAAUCGGAGAUAAGUGGAAUGUUUAAAUCGCGUGUUUAUUUGUGUUUGUGCUCCGUUGAUUUGCCAUCAGCUGGCGAUGUACACGCAAUAGAUGCUAUUUUGAGGCUUUUGAUUUUGAUCUAAGGCCGAAGAGGGCACUCUGGUACCACGAUGGCAGCUCAUGGAAACUGAAGGUUAGCCCCUGUACUUGGUUUACUUACUGAUAUUUCUUGUAAUUCAAUAAACGUUCAUAGCAAUAUACUGAACAUCGAAAGAGUUGACGUAUUUUGCUUUUACUGACUUUUUGAUUGUGAUCUAAGGCAAGAAGGCUCUCAACGAUAUAGUAGCUCAUGGAAAGUGAAGGUUAGCCCCUGCACUUUAUUCGAUAUUUCUUGUAAUUCAAUAAACGUUCAUGGCUUGCAUUGCGAUUUAUACUGAACAUCGAAAGAAUUCACAACGUUAAAACUAACUUUGUUUCCUUUAUUAGCCUACUCACAGGUGAUGUUAUAGCCAUACUCUCACACUUGUCUAAACGUGCGAGCUACCUGAACUUUGAAGAGUGAUCCAUGGAAAAUUUUAGGAUUAUCAACUUGCCAUUUAGCUAUAGGAACACAGCCGGAUUUCACCUGUUGUCUUCUUUAGUACCCAUUAGAGGCAAUCAACUAGCUAACCGUUGAGAAUUGAAAUAAUUCAAUAUCCUGAAUACAUAGGAAGUGCCGGCAAAAGUUUGAUUUUGUAGAGUAAUAUCAACACGUAUUUUUGACAUGUACAACACUGUCCACUACAGUUCUGAUGUAAGCCAAGUUAUUCUUCCAAAACGCUCUAUUUGUUUACUGUUUUCAUCCAGAUCUGUCUAGUAUACCUUCUAACGAAUUUCUGAUACCAUUUUUCUGCAUUUUUCGUUCGUCUUGAAGAUAUUUCUUCAGUUUUCUUUUCUUGAUUUCAACUAUAUUUGAAUGCUAUUGUCCAUGGGAUGCAUCUUGCUAUAUUGCAGGAUGAUAUCUUAAAUCAAUUGUGUUUUUUUUUUCUUUUUAAUCGUCUUGUAGAAUAUAUAUCUAUUCUUUGACUGACUUAUCCCAAGAGUCUUCUUUUCCAGUGCUGUUUGGCUGCUUCAGUUAACGUUGGUAACUUAUUUAAUCAAGAUUUUCUGGCUGUCUUCAUAAGAAAUAAUAUUCACAUCACUACGCCAGGGUUGUCUCAAGUGAUAAACUGUAUCAUUAACCGUCCUCCUUCCGUUAACGGUCUUGGUCUCGGCUAUAGUCGCUCAAUAUUAUUGAAGUUUUAGUUAUGAUGAUUUUACCGGUUCAGUGAAGUCUCUGCCUGUUGGACCACACGGUUCAACUUUUCUGCUUUCCAGUGAAAUCCCGUUGAAAUGCUAUUAGUCAGGUGAAGCUUAAGCGAAGCUAUUUUAAACUCUUCUGUUCACUGUAUGUUCCAGCAGAACUUUUACGGUUGAUAGAUCUGACAUGAUGACACGGGUAUUGCAACCGCUCUACUACACUACAGGCUGUUUUAUUCUCAUUCAGAUGGCGUUUAUCUAAGCGACGCAAAAUUGGCACUAUAUUUGUAAAGCGCAAUUCUGCCACACGCCAAGUCUCCCUCCUUAUUGACCUUGUUCGCAAAAGGGAUUCCCUGCUCGUCCAUUCUGUUCUCUAAAGAUUGUUGUGUAUCUGACACCCAUUGCAAUGUAAAGUUUAUACCACCAUGAUCUUGUUUUCUCAUUUUGUAAGUUCCCGAUCAAUCUUCAUCACCCGAAUCAUUCAGACCGGCUGACAAAAUUUGUCAGUUAAAGUCGCAAACAUUACUUAUCUUUUCUCCGCUAAGUUCAGUGUCGAUUUAGUAAAGGUUUGUUCGUUUAUGCGUUCUGCGGCGUUCCGAGAAUUUGUCAAUCAGUCAAAUUCCAGUCAAAACUUGCUAGCACAAUUCUGUCACAAAAUUGAAUCGAAGUGCAAUAUUGAAAAGAAAGCUGUUCUUGUACUAUUGUUAAGUGCUAAUGCCACGUGUUGACGUAUUUAGAAUUGAUAUCCGUAAAAAAAAUUACACUCAAAGACAUGCAUGAGCUAUUUAUGAGCAUAUAAACUGUAUUUUAACCGUGAUUCGUCUUAAAUUUCUUUCUUUUCAGUAGUGCCAAACGUACAGGAACUGUUCCUCUGUUGCUUAGCUGCUAAAGGAUAUAUAUCAACCCGAUUGCAACUUCCGAAUCAACCUGCAAGGGCCGAUCCCAAGCAAAGCAAAGUCCGCGCUCAGCGCGACUGAACGACUGAACCACGGUAAUUAAAGGUGAUCUGACUACCUAGGAAAAUGAUUCCACGCAAAACGUUAUAUAUAGUUGAGGUUUUUCCGUUUUAGUAAAUCGAAAAAGUCUAAAAUAACAGAAUCCGUUAUCAACUCAACUGAACUGAAGAUCAUCCUCUACGGACAAGCUUACAAAGUUUAGAAGUAAAAACGGUCGAAAUGCAUUCAACUCUAGGCAUAGUAGCUUGUAGUCUCUGUUCUCUGAUGCGUAAAAACCGUUACCAGAUAAAAGUACUACUCGCUAAUAGCCGUCUUGAGUGGCUACCGGCACACUAGGGAUUUUUCUACAUUCUUUAAACAUAGAACCACAUUGUACAGCCUAAAUAACAGUACCAAAUGAAAGUACUGUUCGACAGCUUCCAUUUAAGUGGUCACACACUGGGAUCGCUCCCGCGCACACCUAAAGUUAAUUAGGAUGCGUAAUAAACAGUGCAUUAAUUGGUAACACAGAAGUUUUCUUGCACAGAUCACUCGGCUUAAAAGGUACACCAAAAUAUGCAUUGCCGCAUGAAAGUCCUUCUCAGCUCAAUAGCUUUCAUUAAUAUGAACGAUCGCGCAUACGGGUUUCUUCAACCCACGUUAAGAGUCUGUUAAAUUAGACCCACCAUAAACGGCUCAACAAACUAUGACUAAUGGAAAAAUUGGUCCAAAGUUCAACAUGUUUCUUAUUUCUAUGUUUACAGAGAAUAUGACUAGGCUUUGGGGUGUAAAGCAUUUCAAGUUACACUGUUGAUAUUGUACCUGAGACUAAAAAAGAUAUAUGUAUGAGUGGAUAAUAUAUAGUAUUGGAUAAAGUUUGAACAGUUCAAGAAUUAAACUGCGAAUUUUUUUAAACCUUACAUGAUGAUAUCUGAUUAUAAAAAUAAUUUCCUACGCUAGAUAAUACUCGAUAGGCACGCGAAAUUAGUUCAUUUUUCAUUCCCGUAUCAAGCCUUAGCUACCAACAAGUGUUAAGUUAAAAUGGGUCAUAUAGAUAACUGGCCUCUCACUGAACCCAGUCAAUAACUUUAAUCUUCUCUGCUCUCGCGACAAAGUGUGUUAUCAGUAGAGAAGAGAGAAUAAGAAUCCCUGGGCCUUUUCUGCAAAGCAGCUCGACGUUUUGCCCAAAAGCUGUGCUCUUAGAAAAGCUUGCUUUGACUCUGAACAACAUAAUGGUAGUUAGGCUUUAUUAUUCGGCUUUGCUUGCAGGGUUCUUCUCCUAGUUCUACAUAGUAUCACACAUUUUAAUUUCGGAAACCUGCUCAGAAAACUUCAGUAUUGGACGAUCACAAUAAGAGAAAUUUUAAAAGAAUUCCAGGUCUUCUUUUGUAAAGCGGCUCAACGGUUUGCUAAAACCGGCUGUACUCUUCAAAAGGGCAUUACUUAGGGUCUGAGGUUAGACACUUCCAAAAACAACAAAAUCAUAGUAGCUUGACUUUCAUUUGCCAUUAUUUAUAUAGAGCUUCACUCAGUUCUCACUUAAAAUUAUUAAAAAGAAACUGAACUUUUCCCUAAGAGCUAUUCUACCAAAAAGCAGACCUCUUUUAACUUGCUUCUGUCCCGCUUUGUCUCUGCACCUGUCUAUAAACCUUCUUCUAGCUGGAUUCAGUAAAGACUAUGACCUUUUUUCCACUAAAAACACAGUUGUUACCUAUUGAGUUGCCCUUUGAGAUCUGGAAUUUUGAUCUCUCCUUGAUGUCUAUGUCCUUUUUUGAUGCCAUAUCAUGCGUACGUAUGUGGGCAUGAGUUUGUGUUGUCUAUGUUCUUAUUUUUUAAAACUGAGAAUUUUGCAUGAAGAGAUUUUUGUAUCUGAGUUUUGUGAGUUAUCAUUUGCAGAUAGCGUGUACGGUAAUAAAGCUUUAAUGUAAUUAUUUACUGGUGUACUGUUGAAAAAACGGAAGUAACAUGACAGCCACGCAUUUAGAAACCAAUCAGAUUCGAGGUCGAUUUCAGAAAACUGCCAUUGACCUGUCUUUGCUUAGCAACUUUUUACGCGAGUUGUAUAUAACUUGUUAUCAAAACACACAGCACAAAGCAGUGACCGACAGUAAUGGAUUUUUAUAAAUUGCUAUUGGUCUGCCUGAAUUUGUAAUGAUUAUUAUGAUGCAAUUUUCGUGUAUUAUAUAUAUCGUAAAACGCUCUUUCAAGGGAGCCCAAAUAAAUGAAAUGUACACUGA